rnacentral:sRNA from 1 species
UAAAUCAUAGUGAUAUUAACUCAUAAAUGUUUUGUUGAAAAAACUUUCUUUAAGUAUUAAAAAAAUUGUGAAAAGGGAUAGAAAGGUCUCGAAUAUAACAUUCCUAACCAUAAUUUUAAGGGCUGAAAAAGAGUUAAAGCUCAUUUAGGGACGAGUUUUAAAUAAAUAGGGCCGGAAUCUACGGAAAACUCUAUAUAACAUUCCUAACCAUAAUUUUAUAUAGAUAAAUAUAUUCUUUUCCGCCAAUAGUAUAUGAGCUAAAAUAUUACUUUCAUGUUCCUUACAGUUGUGCUAACAUGUAUACACGAAUCUCAUCAAUUAUCUCAUUUUAUGGAGUUAUGAUCGCUCUUUCUCUCUAAUGCUGGCAAAGGUAGGUUUUGAUAAAUUGUUCUCUGCAUUUGUGG